rnacentral:rRNA from 1 species
GCAAUCUGUGUGACUGCGUACCUUUUGUAUAAUGGGUCAGCGACUUAUAUUCUGUAGCAAGGUUAACCGAAUAGGGGAGCCGAAGGGAAACCGAGUCUUAACUGGGCGUUAAGUUGCAGGGUAUAGACCCGAAACCCGGUGAUCUAGCCAUGGGCAGGUUGAAGGUUGGGUAACACUAACUGGAGGACCGAACCGACUAAUGUUGAAAAAUUAGCGGAUGACUUGUGGCUGGGGGUGAAAGGCCAAUCAAACCGGGAGAUAGCUGGUUCUCCCCGAAAGCUAUUUAGGUAGCGCCUCGUGAAUUCAUCUCCGGGGGUAGAGCACUGUUUCGGCAAGGGGGUCAUCCCGACUUACCAACCCGAUGCAAACUGCGAAUACCGGAGAAUGUUAUCACGGGAGACACACGGCGGGUGCUAACGUCCGUCGUGAAGAGGGAAACAACCCAGACCGCCAGCUAAGGUCCCAAAGUCAUGGUUAAGUGGGAAACGAUGUGGGAAGGCCCAGACAGCCAGGAUGUUGGCUUAGAAGCAGCCAUCAUUUAAAGAAAGCGUAAUAGCUCACUGGUCGAGUCGGCCUGCGCGGAAGAUGUAACGGGGCUAAACCAUG